GCAAUGCAUUUGUUAUGAAAUGUGUUGUGCUUUGCUUUUCUGUUGCAAAACCAGUUGCAGUCAGCUCUUUUGUUGUAAAGUCACUGAAUUUAGACUCCUCUGUGCUGUAAGUGGUACUGUGUACAUCUGUAAUGAGGUUGGUGGUUCUAGGAUUUUGUGUAGUAGAGUAAGUUGUGUGCAAUCCAUCUGUUGUGAAAUAGGUUGUGCUAACUUCUUCUGUUGUAGCACCACCUGCAGUCAUUUCCUCUGUUGUAAAGUGACUGAUUGUAGACUCAUUUGCUCCAUAGCCAGUGGUGUUCUGUACAUCUGUAAUGAGGAUGGUGGUUCUGGGAUUUUGUAUAGUAGAGUAAGUAGUGUGUAAUCCGUCUGUUGUGAAAUAGGUUGUGCUAACUUCUUCUGUUGUAGCACCACUUGCAGUCAUUUCCUCUGUUGUAAAAUCACUGAUUGUAGACUCCUUUGUGCUAUAACCAGUAGUACUGAGUACAUCUAUAAUAAAGUUGGUAGUUCUUGGCUUUUGUGUGUAUGGAUAAAUAGUGUAGGUCACUUCUGUUGUAAAAUCACUUGUGGUUACAUCUUCUGUUGUAAAACCACUUCCAUUUAAUUCCUCUGUUGCAUAACCUUUUGUUAAAUCACUGGCACUACUGACAGUACUGAUUGGUUGCUUUAUGGUAUUACUACUGAUGUUCAGUACAUCUGUCGCAAAAUGUGUUACAGAGCCAGUAGUGCUUAACUCACUUUUAGUAAAGUCACUUGUACUCAGCUCUUUUGUAGUAUAAGCACUGGUGCUCAUUGUAUUUGUUGUAAAAGCACAGGUUUGAGGUGUCUGUGUAGAUGAAUCACUAGUGCUUGAG